rnacentral:tRNA from 2 species
GCACCCGUAGCUCAACUGGAUAGAGCAAUGGACUUCGGAUCCAUAGGUUGGGGGUUCGACUCCCUCCGGGUGUA